rnacentral:rRNA from 1 species
AACAGGAUUAGAUACCCUGGUAGUCCACGCCGUAAACGAUGUCGACUUGGAGGUUGUUCCCUUGAGGAGUGGCUUCCGGAGCUAACGCGUUAAGUCGACCGCCUGGGGAGUACGGCCGCAAGGUUAAAACUCAAAUGAAUUGACGGGGGCCCGCACAAGCGGUGGAGCAUGUGGUUUAAUUCGAUGCAACGCGAAGAACCUUACCUACUCUUGACAUCCAGAGAACUUAGCAGAGAUGCUUUGGUGCCUUCGGGAGCUCUGAGACAGGUGCUGCAUGGCUGUCGUCAGCUCGUGUUGUGAAAUGUUGGGUUAAGUCCCGCAACGAGCGCAACCCUUAUCCUUUGUUGCCAGCGAUUCGGUCGGGAACUCAAAGGAGACUGCCGGUGAUAAACCGGAGGAAGGUGGGGAUGACGUCAAGUCAUCAUGGCCCUUACGAGUAGGGCUACACACGUGCUACAAUGGCGCAUACAAAGAGAAGCGACCUCGCGAGAGCAAGCGGACCUCAUAAAGUGCGUCGUAGUCCGGAUCGGAGUCUGCAACUCGACUCCGUGAAGUCGGAAUCGCUAGUAAUCGUGGAUCAGAAUGCCACGGUGAAUACGUUCCCGGGCCUUGUACACACCGCCCGUCACACCAUGGGAGUGGGUUGCAAAAGAAGUAGGUAGCUUAACCUUCGGGAGGGCGCUUACCACUUUGUGAUUCAUGACUGGGGUGAAGUCGUAACAAGGUAACC